GCCGACGUAGCUCAGCCGGUAGAGCAGCUGAUUUGUAAUCAGCAGGUCGCAGGUUCAACCCCUGUCGUCGGCUCCA
rnacentral:tRNA from 5 species